AGGCGAACAUUGAAAUCUCAGAGACAAAAACCCCCCAAAAUUUUGAGGCAGAAAAAAAAGAUUUACGACUUCUUCGAUCCGAAUCGACCUCGCUCGUUGGUCUAGGGUUCGUCCAAACCUAUGUAAAUCAGAAAAUUCUGAUAAUUUUGCAGUACGACUUCCAAAUCGAUCCAUUCCAUAUAUAUAUAUAUAUAUCAGCUUUAUCUCAUAAACUGCAAUUAAUGGAUUGCCAUGUGCUAUCGUCGAUAGUUGGCAUCUUCGGUAUCUCUCUCAUCUAGGAUUUCUGUAUUUGUUAUCUUUUGUGUUCUGUGUGUAUAGAAAGGGAAGAUGAAUGUGUCAAAGUCUCAGGUAUGGCAGCCUUGUAAGAAGAAGAGAUCUUGAUUUUAUAUCUAUAUAUACAGAGAGAGAGGAGAGUCAGAGAAACAAUGGAUGGCAUCUGUAUUGAAGUGUUAAGGUGAAGGCAGUCUUGCAAAAAAAGAAGAGAUAUCGAUUUUAUGUGUAUAAAGACGCGAGCUUUUUAGUGAGAGAAACAAUGGAUGGUAUCUGAAUUGAAGUGUAAGGUGAGGCAGUCUUACAAAAAAGAAGAGAUCUUGAAGGUUAAAGACACAUCUGUAGAGAGAGAGAGGGGGGGUUUUAGAGUGAGAAAUGGCUUCUAGCGCAAGCGGAAGUAGUAGGACUCGUGUGGGGAAGUACGAGCUGGGACGGACGCUCGGGGAGGGAAGCUUUGCGAAGGUGAAGUUUGCUCGGAACUUGGAGACUGGUGAGAACGUCGCUAUCAAAAUUCUCAAUAAAGAAAAAGUUCUCAAGCAUAAGAUGAUCGGUCAGAUUAAACGGGAAAUUUCUACCAUGAAACUAAUCAGACACCCAAAUGUCAUCCGCAUGUAUGAGGUUAUGGCUAGCAAGACAAAAAUAUACAUUGUUUUGGAAUUCGUUACUGGUGGUGAACUGUUUGACAAAAUUUCUACUAGAGGAAGGUUUAAAGAAGAUGAAGCAAGAAAGUACUUUCAGCAGCUCAUUAAUACAGUGGAUUAUUGCCACAGCAGAGGCGUUUUCCAUAGAGAUCUGAAGCCAGAGAAUCUACUGCUGGAUGCAAAUGGAGUUCUUAAAGUUUCAGACUUUGGAUUAAGCGCUCUACCUCAGCAAGUUAGAGAAGAUGGGUUACUGCACACGACAUGUGGAACUCCAAAUUAUGUUGCUCCUGAGGUUAUUAACAAUAAAGGUUACGAUGGUGCUAAGGCAGAUCUGUGGUCCUGUGGCGUAAUUCUUUUUGUCAUUAUGGCAGGCUUUUUGCCUUUUGAAGACUCGAACCUCAUGGCACUGUACAAAAAGAUAUUCAAGGCUGACUUCACUUGCCCUCCAUGGUUCUCUUCGAGUGUUAAGAAACUAAUCAAAAGAAUCCUGGACCCUAAUCCCUCAACACGCAUUACAAUUGCUGAGGUCAUCGAGAAUGAUUGGUUUAAGAAAGGAUAUAAGCCACCCAAAUUUGAACAGGCAGAUGUUAGUCUCGAUGACGUGGAGGCUAUUUUUGAUGAAUCAGAGGACUCUCGAAACCUUGUUGUGGAGAGGCGCGAAGAACAACCUGCAAUGCCCGUCACUAUGAAUGCUUUUGAGCUUAUCUCUACAUCUAUGGGUCUGAACCUUGGAUCUCUCUUUGAAAAGCAAAUGGGGCUUGUUAAGCGAGAAACAAGAUUUACAUCUAGAUGUCCUGCCAAAGAGAUUAUUUCAAAAAUUGAGGAAGCUGCGGUGCCUUUGGGUUUUGAUGUAAAGAAAAAUAACUACAAGAUGAAGCUGCAAGGGGAGAAAACUGGGCGUAAGGGUCAUCUAUCUGUUGCAACAGAGAUUUUUGAAGUCGCUCCCUCACUUUACAUGGUUGAGCUUCGCAAGUCUGGAGGGGAUACCUUAGAAUUUCACAAGGCUCUCCGGGCAGAUCAGAGGCAGGACCCAUUAUUGCCACCUCUCGCCUACCAUUAUUAUUAUUAUUUUGAGAGUUCUACAAUAAUCUGUCAAUUGGGUUGAAGGAUAUUGUCUGGAGAUCAGAUGGUCAAACGAUAGAGCAAGGAAAUGAAGGUGCUGGUAUUGUGCCAUCUUGAUUAUUGGCUCUUGUAAAAUGUUAUAUAUCUGUGAAAUCUGGCAGACUUGUAAUCGUCAUAUUCUAGAAAUUGAAUAUUAAGGCUUGCUAAAUUGUAUAACUGUUACAUAUUGUUUGUAUACUGUUUGGUACCACUAUGUUCCAUUCUUUUCGGGUUUGGAGUUUGUUAAACAGGACAAGCAUUUAUAAAUACCUGAGUUUGGUUUGAAUCAUUCAA